ACAAAGGCUAAAGAAUACUUUAUUAGUGCCAGAUUUCAUCUGAUCUGUUAGAACUCCUCCAUGAGCACUGUCUGAUAACUAUUUCCUUUAUAUACAUUUCCAUUUCAUGAGAACCUUGUCUGAUUUAACUCUGCUUGGGAAGACAAUAGUUGCAUGCUAGUGAAAGCAGCACUUUGCUUACAUCCAGACAUGAUGAAAAAUGAAAUAGCUCUUAAGGGGCCACUUCUUGAAAUACUGCUACAAGUCCUUAAAAAUCUCCAGCUCUUGCAAGAUUGCCCCAUUCAAAUUGUAUGGUCUCAAGUAGCUCAGAAAAACCACUUGUUUUAUUCCAUAUCCUGUUUCAUGUGUUGUUCUACACCAUGUAUUUAGACAUCUCAUAUGCAAACACAACCUUUCCUCUAAGUACUCCUUGAACAGAACUGCAUAUUUGGCAUGAGCCAACACAUUUGCCUCAGUUCCAUAUAGCAACCAGCAGCAUUAAUUGAAACACCAGAGACCUCAACAUGUGCACUUUGCUGAAUCAAUUUAUAGGCACUGAUAUAAGAAAGAAGAAAAAGAACUAAAGCAACUGAGGAGGAGGAGCAGCCGAUCACCCAGGUAAACAAGCAGCCCAGGUAGGCGAGGAUACAACCAUUAAUCACCAUCCAGAUAAUGCCAGGAAAGGACAAUAAUCCAUAACAAGUUUUGUCAUUCCUUUGCAUUGUCUCAUAAUAGGAGAAAUACAGCAAACAAUUGUCAACAGUUGUUCACAAUGAUCAUUUCAGCUUUUGCACUGAGGUUUGGUCUUAUGCGUUGAGCCAGUGCCCCCUCAAUGUUCAUGAAGUUCUCCUUACCCUAAGCUAGUGUUGAAGAUUCACUGUGUUUCUGCCCCUUUGAUGUUGGAACUACUGCUAGUCCCCAGCACUACUGUUUUUCUUCAUCCUAGUUAUUUAAGGGAACUUUUUCCACCUGACCCAGGCAAAAGCCUUUCACGUGGCAGCUCGAGAUCAAAGUUAAUUUGCUCAUACCAAAGAGCUUCACAAACACACAAUUAAAAAUACAGCCUCCCAGUUACAGUUGCAUUCCCAGAACUGCAAAGAGCUGAGAAUGAGCACAAGUAACCCCUACACCAGAUCCCUGUCUGAUGUCCAUCCAAGGCUGGGAACCUGCCUCCUGCCAAGGACAGCACGCAGAAAAAAAGCAGAGGAGACUUCUGCAGGAAAAGAACCGAGGGAGAUCCCCUCUUCAUGCAGAGCAUACUGCACGACCCUGUGUGAUCACCUUCCGUUAUCCCAGAAUACUACAUCUGCCUCCUUGCAAGUCCACAGAGACUUAGAAAACAUCCUAUUCUGUGCCAACAGUUGUAAGUAAUGUACGAGUAUUUAUGUAUGUGUGGCCAGAUCUGCCUGGAGCCAGCAAGCAGCCAUCCUGCCCACAGAGCUUUGAGAUCCUUCCAGGUGAAGUUCUCACAAACAGUUUCUACUUCUGUGAAUGCUGAUGAGGAAUAGACUGAAAGGAUCAGAAAUAACUUGCUGAAGAAUUUGUUAUUUUGAUUGGAAUAAGUGUUCACACAUCUUUCGAUGUUCUUCAUUCAGGUCCACACUUGCAGAAGUCAUCCUUUUUAUUAUUAAUUGGUUUUGGUUUUCUGUGUUUACAGAAACCAGAUUUUACUUAGCAGUACAAGAAGGAAGUCAACAUGACACCAUUAGGAAUAAUUACAACUCUGUUUCUGCACAGAAGUAACUUAUUACUCUGGCAGC